rfam:Felis catus isolate Cinnamon breed Abyssinian chromosome D1, whole genome shotgun sequence.
GCCUGGGUGGCUCAGUCGGUUGGGCGUCUGACUUCGGCUCAGGUCAUGAUCUCACCGUCCGUGGGUUCGAGCCCCGCAUAGGGCU